rnacentral:rRNA from 1 species
CAGCAUUUUAGUUUGCUUGCAAACUGAAGAUGGCGACCGGCGCACGGGUGAGUAACACGUAUCCAACCUGCCGAUAACUCCGGAAUAGCCUUUCGAAAGAAAGAUUAAUACCGGAUAGCAUACGAAUAUCGCAUGAUAUUUUUAUUAAAGAAUUUCGGUUAUCGAUGGGGAUGCGUUCCAUUAGUUUGUUGGCGGGGUAACGGCCCACCAAGACUACGAUGGAUAGGGGUUCUGAGAGGAAGGUCCCCCACAUUGGAACUGAGACACGGUCCAAACUCCUACGGGAGGCAGCAGUGAGGAAUAUUGGUCAAUGGGCGAGAGCCUGAACCAGCCAAGUAGCGUGGAGGAUGAAGGCUCUAUGGGUCGUAAACUUCUUUUAUAUGGGAAUAAAGUUUUCCACGUGUGGAAUUUUGUAUGUACCAUAUGAAUAAGGAUCGGCUAACUCCGUGCCAGCAGCCGCGGUAAUACGGAGGAUCCGAGCGCUAUCCGGAUUUAUUGGGUUUAAAGGGAGCGUAGGUGGAUUGUUAAGUCAGUUGUGAAAGUUUGCGGCUCAACCGUAAAAUUGCAGUUGAAACUGGCAGUCUUGAGUACAGUAGAGGUGGGCGGAAUUCGUGGUGUAGCGGUGAAAUGCUUAGAUAUCA